rnacentral:rRNA from 1 species
UGUUGGCUUAGAAGCAGCCAUCAUUUAAAGAAAGCGUAAUAGCUCACUGGUCGAGUCGGCCUGCGCGGAAGAUGUAACGGGGCUAAACCAUGCACCGAAGCUGCGGCAGCGAACGUAUCACUUAAAGCGAUUCAGCGGGUUACGAUUGACGGAGCGAAGCGACGUCAAAGCGUAUACAAAGUCGAGUCGGUUUAAGGAUACGUUCGUUGGGUAGGGGAGCGUUCUGUAAGCCUGUGAAGGUGGCCUGUGAGGGUUGCUGGAGGUAUCAGAAGUGCGAAUGCUGACAUAAGUAACGAUAAAGCGGGUGAAAAGCCCGCUCGCCGGAAGACCAAGGGUUCCUGUCCAACGUUAAUCGGGGCAGGGUGAGUCGACCCCUAAGGCGAGGCCGAAAGGCGUAGUCGAUGGGAAACAGGUUAAUAUUCCUGUACUUGGUGUUACUGCGAAGGGGGGACGGAGAAGGCUAUGUUGGCCGGGCGACGGUUGUCCCGGUUUAAGCGUGUAGGCUGGUUUUCCAGGCAAAUCCGGAAAAUCAAGGCUGAGGCGUGAUGACGAGGCACUACGGUGCUGAAGCAACAAAUGCCCUGCUUCCAGGAAAAGCCUCUAAGCAUCAGGUAACAUCAAAUCGUACCCCAAACCGACACAGGUGGUCAGGUAGAGAAUACCAAGGCGCUUGAGAGAACUCGGGUGAAGGAACUAGGCAAAAUGGUGCCGUAACUUCGGGAGAAGGCACGCUGACACGUAGGUGAAGUGAUUUACUCAUGGAGCUGAAGUCAGUCGAAGAUACCAGCUGGCUGCAACUGUUUAUUAAAAACACAGCACUGUGCAAACACGAAAGUGGACGUAUACGGUGUGACGCCUGCCCGGUGCCGGAAGGUUAAUUGAUGGGGUCAGCGCAAGCGAAGCUCCUGAUCGAAGCCCCGGUAAACGGCGGCCGUAACUAUAACGGUCCUAAGGUAGCGAAAUUCCUUGUCGGGUAAGUUCCGACCUGCACGAAUGGCGUAAUGAUGGCCAGGCUGUCUCCACCCGAGACUCAGUGAAAUUGAACUCGCUGUGAAGAUGCAGUGUACCCGCGGCAAGACGGAAAGACCCCGUGAACCUUUACUAUAGCUUGACACUGAACAUUGAGCCUUGAUGUGUAGGAUAGGUGGGAGGCUUUGAAGUGUGGACGCCAGUCUGCAUGGAGCCGACCUUGAAAUACCACCCUUUAAUGUUUGAUGUUCUAACGUGGACCCGUGAUCCGGGUUGCGGACAGUGUCUGGUGGGUAGUUUGACUGGGGCGGUCUCCUCCUAAAGAGUAACGGAGGAGCACGAAGGUUGGCUAAUCCUGGUCGGACAUCAGGAGGUUAGUGCAAUGGCAUAAGCCAGCUUGACUGCGAGCGUGACGGCGCGAGCAGGUGCGAAAGCAGGUCAUAGUGAUCCGGUGGUUCUGAAUGGAAGGGCCAUCGCUCAACGGAUAAAAGGUACUCCGGGGAUAACAGGCUGAUACCGCCCAAGAGUUCAUAUCGACGGCGGUGUUUGGCACCUCGAUGUCGGCUCAUCACAUCCUGGGGCUGAAGUAGGUCCCAAGGGUAUGGCUGUUCGCCAUUUAAAGUGGUACGCGAGCUGGGUUUAGAACGUCGUGAGACAGUUCGGUCCCUAUCUGCCGUGGGCGCUGGAGAACUGAGGGGGGCUGCUCCUAGUACGAGAGGACCGGAGUGGACGCAUCACUGGUGUUCGGGUUGUCAUGCCAAUGGCACUGCCCGGUAGCUAAAUGCGGAAGAGAUAAGUGCUGAAAGCAUCUAAGCACGAAACUUGCCCCGA